AUGUCCAUGGCUCAUCAGGCGGCGGCCAGCGGCGGCGACACGAGGCUGACCAAGGUGUUCGUGGGGGGGCUGGCGUGGGAGACGAGCAAGGAGGGCGUGCGCGGCCACUUCGAGCGCUUCGGCGAGAUCCUCGAGGCCGUCGUCAUCGCCGACAAGGGCACCGGCAGAUCCAAGGGCUACGGAUUUGUUACCUUCCGGGAGGCGGAGGCGGCCAUGAGGGCGUGCUUGGAUCCCUACCCGGUGAUUGACGGCCGGAGGGCCAACUGCAACCUCGCCUGUCUCGGGGUCCAGAGGUCCAAGGCGCCGCAACCACUGCCUUAUCUGCAACCAUAUGCUGCAGUAGGCCAUGUCCAUGGUGGAGGCAACAUCAACACGAGGGCAAUGAAAGCUGCCAUUGCUGCUGCUGGUGCUGGUGGUGCCAGCUUCGUCGACCAUGGCAUCCAGCAAGGGAUCCCUGCCGCGGCCUACAACAUGUACGGGUACUCUCCAUAUUUCUCGGACUACGGUUACCAGCCACUGACAUACUAUCAGGCGUACGGUGGGCUGGCCGGAGGGGCACAGUACCAGGUCUUCAACGGUGGUGCCGCCACAGCGGGGACGGCGGGGCUAGCAAUGGCUGAUCCUACCGGGCUCUACCCCUACUACCAAUAUGGCCCUGCUGUGAGCACCGCCGCUGCGUACAGCAUGAUGCAGUACCCCCAGAUGUACCAGUAUGCGGCGGUCGGCGCCCCGCCGGAGAGCAGCCCUACCGCGGUGUCCGGCCUCCACCAGUUCAUUGGCGCCGCUGCCUUUGAGCCUAAUACUGGCGCCCAGGCAGGAGGUAUGACGCUGGCUCAGCUGACAGCUCCAGCUCCGCUGGCACCUGCACCACAGUAUCAGUACAGGCUCGUCUCUCCCAUGCCCAUUGCAACACCAGAUCAGAAGAAGCCCUUAGCCUAG
rnacentral:rRNA from 1 species